UACGUAGGGUGCGAGCGUUGUCCGGAAUCAUUGGGCGUAAAGCGCGUGUAGGCGGUCCGGUAAGUCCGCUGUGAAAGUCGGGGGCUCAACCCUCGGAUGCCGGUGGAUACUGUCGGGCUUGAGUACGGAAGAGGCGAGUGGAAUUCCUGGUGUAGCGGUGAAAUGCGCAGAUAUCAGGAGGAACACCAAUUGCGAAGGCAGCUCGCUGGGACGUCACUGACGCUGAGACGCGAAAGCGUGGGGAGCAAACAGG
rnacentral:rRNA from 1 species